UGGGUGUGUAGUGUUAACACCAUACAACACGACACCACCAUAACACCACCAGACACUAUCACCACAGACAAACGCCAGGCUCCACCACACCAUAGCACCACCAGACACCACCAUCACCACCACAAUAGCACAGACACCACCACCACCAACAUACACAACCACCAGACACCAUCACAUACCACAGCACCAUCAUACCACACACAAUACUAUACCAACACCACAUCAAACAUCCUUGGCGCCCCGACCUGCCCACAUCAAACAUCCUUGGCGCCCCGACCUGCCCAGCCGCAGUGAGCACUGAGCACCCGCCAAGCCACCGCUAGCCCAACCACCACCCCGCCGCACCCGAGGUCCUGGGCAGGGUGCUACAAAAUAAGAACUAUAGCAAGCCACACAAACACUAUGGGAGUGGAAGAAGACCACAAGAUCAGCUCAAGCAGUACAGUGAGUGACUAGCUGGUGAUACACAGGAAUUUUUAUGGUGCUGUACUGUCCUGGGCAAGAAAAAAAAGUGAGAAAUGCACCAACUUGUUGUAUGAACAGUACUGAAGUGAAGAGGACCACGGCCAUCCACUUGCCUGUGUAACAAAACGCCAGGAAUGCCAUCCACUUGCCUGUGUAACAAAACGCCAGGAAUGCAAGAACUGCAAUGAGUCCGUCACACAAACAGUACUAGAGUGGAGGAGUGCUGGCAUUAUAGCCAGUAGCUGCAGAUUUGUGAUGGCUGGGGCAAGAAAAUGUCACCAGUACUACUACUACUGUCUGCAUAGAUAGAUGUACUGUGGCUGCAAAUGAAGUGCACCCUGCCUGCAAUGCAAAAGCACUUAAGAGAGUGGACAGAGAAAUAUUGGUGCACGUGGGCCACAGUACGUGGUUCUUGAUCAAAUGAUAUCUGGCAGCCACACUGGGUAGCAAGGUGACUCUAGUGUACUCACCCGGCCUCACUGCUGCUCCAGCUGUGUGGGGCUGAGGUGGUUUAUGCUUCACGUCUCUAUUCAGCGUUUUAAGCAUUCCCUUAUCCCACUUGUUACUGGCCAUGCAGAUGACCAGCAUGGGUCCAGAGUGACUUGUGAAGUUGGAAAAGGCUCACAUUUUGGUGUUGAAGUUAGUAAAGUGACAAUAAAGGGGAUGAUAUCUUUGCAUACUGGCCGUGGCAUGACAGCUAUCAAACUUUAAGCUGAUGCCCAAGAUCUCCCACCAAAUCAAAUAUACCAGCUCAUAAAUCACAACCUAGAGCUAAAAGUGAAGACUUCCCCAAGCAAUGACACUCCUAUUGCUCUGAAGAAAAACCCACGCUGGACUGCCCAACAACUAAAAGAAGGGUUGAAGAGCUGAAAAUGAGAUUUGUGAGGUGGUAUUUGAUUUGAAGGAAGAUCUUGGGUGUCAGGUUGAAUCUUCUUCAUAGCUGUCAUGGUACUGCCAAUAUGCAAGGAUUUCUCCUUUAUUGCCAUAUUUUCUUCCGUCAUUGUCAAAAUGUGGGCCUUUUCCAAGUCCAGAAUUGGCUUUGGACCCAUGCUAGUUGUCCGAUAUAUAGUAGCCAGUAAACAAGUAGGAUGAUGAAAUGCUAAGUAGAUGUGAAGUAUAAAUAAACCUCCUCAGCCCCAGAACUAAGCAGCAGUGAGGCUGGGUGAGUACACUAAUGUCACAGUGCUACCCAGUGUGGCUGUCAGAUAUCACUUGAUCAAGAAUCCAUCCACUGUGGCCUGUGUGCACCAUUGUUUCUCUGCCUGCUCUUUUAAGUACUACUUUGUAUUGUGAGCAGGGUGCAUUUCAUUUGUAGACACUGUAUGUAAUGCAGAUUUACUGUCUACUGAGUGAGGGCAGCUUGCCUGGAUGCUGUUGAAUCCAGCCCAGAAUUUCUUGGGCCAUUUGUGGGGCCAGUUUGGUGUUUGUGUGGUGAUAUGGACAGCCUCGAUGUUACUUCAGUUAGUGUUAAAAAAAGCCUGAGUAUAGAUAGGAAAAUAGUAAAA